rnacentral:lncRNA from 1 species
AAUCUACUGAGGUUUUGAUCUGGAGAAAGAGAAAACCCAACUCCUGCCAACACCCCCCUCCCCUGUAAGCUAUCUGUACCACCUAAGGUUGGGGAAACAAAAAAUCAGGAACUGGAUACCAGGUACCAGGAGAAGAACCUGCUCCACACCAGUCUUUAGUACCACAGGUGAACACUAGGUGAAGUUACCACAAUUUAUAGUGCCCAAGUAGAAACUGACAAACCCCUUCAAACAGGUUACAUGUACCACCCCAAGGAGGAUGCAUACCUAUCAGAGGUUUGAGAGGUUUCCAGACUCUUUAGCAGGGCUGACUGGAGAAAGUCCUCCUUAUAUGAAACUAGGUCACAAAGUCUGGGUGAGAUGGCUGAUUCUUCAAAUGACCAAAUCCCAAUGAUGAAAAAACAAGACUCACAAAGAAACAGCCAUGAUACAUUAAAGGAACAAAAAUGUGCAGAAACCGAUCCUAAUGAAACAGAGACAUAUGACUUUCCAGAUCCAAAAUUACUGUUGUAAGGACACACAGUGAAUUAAAAGAACACAAAAAACUAAAAUUAGAAAAGGAUGCAUUAACAAAAAGGAAGAUCAACAAGACAAAGAAAAGAGGAGAGGUAAGAGGAUAUGAGGGAUUUAUGGGACACCAUCAAACAGAAAAGCAUAUCAAUUGGAACACACAGAAGGAUAAAAAGUAAAGUAGGGUGCAGAGAACCUAUUUGAAUAAAUAAUAACUGAAAAUUCCCACACUGAAGGAGAGAUAUGGACAUCCAAAUGCAAUACUCACAGAGAGCUCCAAAACAGGGGGAAAAAAAAUCUAGAGAUCUAUGGCAAGACACAUCAUAAUUAACUGUUUAAAAAAUGACAGAGAAUCUUGAAAGCAGCAAAAAGCAACAGCACAUUCCUAACAGCUCCUAUGAGAAUUAUCAGAUGACUUUAUCA